rnacentral:rRNA from 1 species
UACGAAGGGGGCUAGCGUUGUUCGGAUUUACUGGGCGUAAAGCGCACGUAGGCGGAUAGUUAAGUGAGAGGUGAAAUCCCGGGGCUCAACCCCGGAACUGCCUUUGAAACUGCAUAGCUAGAAUCUUGGAGAGGCGAGUGGAAUUCCGAGUGUAGAGGUGAAAUUCGUAGAUAUUCGGAAGAACACCAGUGGCGAAGGCGACUCGCUGGACAAGUAUUGACGCUGAGGUGCGAAAGCGUGGGGAGCAAACAGG